UAGCAAUAUUCUGUUGUGGGAGCGGCGCAAGGGUGCGUAACACGUGGGUAAUCUGCCAUGAAGUUUGGGAUAACCCCGAGAAAUCGGGGCUAAUACCGGAUGUGACAGUCUGGAGGCAUCUCCGGGUUGUUAAAGUUGGGGACCGUAAGGCCUGACGCUUCAUGAUGAGCCCGCGGCCUAUCAGCUAGUUGGUGAGGUAACGGCUCACCAAGGCUAAGACGGGUAGCUGGUCUGAGAGGACGACCAGCCACACUGGAACUGAGACACGGUCCAGACACCUACGGGUGGCAGCAGUCGAGAAUUUUUCAUAAUGGGCGCAAGCCUGAUGGAGCGACGCCGCGUGGGGGAUGAAUGGCUUCGGCCCGUAAACCCCUGUCAUUUGCGAGCAAGGCGUAUUAUUUAAAAGAUGAUGCGUUGAUAGUAGCGAAAGAGGAAGGGACGGCUAACUCUGUGCCAGCAGCCGCGGUAAUACAGAGGUCCCGAGCGUUGUUCGGAUUCACUGGGCGUAAAGGGUGCGUAGGUGGUGAGGUAAGUCGGAUGUGAAAUUCUGGAGCUUAACUCCGGAACGGCAUUGGAAACUACCUUGCUGGAGGGUUGGAGGGGGGACUGGAAUUCUCGGUGUAGCA
rnacentral:rRNA from 1 species